rnacentral:rRNA from 1 species
AGGACGAACGCUGGCGGCGUGCUUAACACAUGCAAGUCACGGGGGCCCGCAAGGGCAACCGGCGAACGGGUGCGUAACACGUGAGCAAUCUGCCGAUUUCUGGGGGAUAGCCGGCCCAACGGCCGGGUAAUACCGCAUACGCUCGUCGAGAGGAGUCUCUCGACGAGGAAACCUCCGGGGGAAAUCGAGGAGCUCGCGGCCUAUCAGCUAGUUGGCGGGUAACGGCCCACCAAGGCGAUGACGGGUAGC